rnacentral:rRNA from 1 species
AAUGAACGCUGGUGGUAUGCCUUAUACAUGCGAGUCGAACGAAAACAUAUUAAGUGUUUUAGUGGCGAACGGGUGAGUAAUGCAUAAGAAUUUACCUGAUAGACCAGGAUAAUUUUCCGUAACUGGAAUUGUAAUACUGGAUAGCUUAUAAAAUAUUUUAUAGGUAAAGAUUUAUUUCGCUAUUAGAUGAGCUUAUGUAGGAUUAGGUAGUUGGUAGGGUAAUGGCCUACCAAGCCAAUGAUCCUUAGCUGGUCUGAGAGGACGAUCAGCCACAUUGGGACUGAGACAAGGCCCAA